AUUGAACGCUGGCGGCAUGCUUUACACAUGCAAGUCGAACGGCAGCACAGGGAGCUUGCUCCUGGGUGGCGAGUGGCGAACGGGUGAGUAAUGUAUCGGAACGUGCCUGGUAGUGGGGGAUAACUACUCGAAAGAGUGGCUAAUACCGCAUGAGAUCUUUGGAUGAAAGCGGGGGACCUUCGGGCCUCGCGCUACUGGAGCGGCCGAUAUCAGAUUAGGUUGUUGGUGGGGUAAAGGCCUACCAAGCCUGCGAUCUGUAGCUGGUCUGAGAGGACGACCAGCCACACUGGGACUGAGACACGGCCCAGACUCCUACGGGAGGCAGCAGUGGGGAAUUUUGGACAAUGGGCGCAAGCCUGAUCCAGCAAUGCCGCGUGCAGGACGAAGGCCUUCGGGUUGUAAACUGCUUUUGUACAGAACGAAAAGUCUCUGGCUAAUAUCUAGAGAUCAUGACGGUACUGUAAGAAUAAGCACCGGCUAACUACGUG
rnacentral:rRNA from 1 species